GAUGAACGCUGGCGGCGUGCCUAAUACAUGCAAGUCGGACGGAGCGCUUCGGCGCUCAGUGGCGAACGGGUGAGUAGCACAUGGGCAACCUGCCCUUCAGAGGGGGACAACAGUUGGAAACGACUGCUAAUACCGCAUAACGUGUCGAGGAGGCAUCUCCUUGACACCAAAGAUUUAUCGCUGAAAGAUGGGCUCGCGUCUGAUUAGCUAGUUGGUGGGGUAACGGCCUACCAAGGCGACGAUCAGUAGCCGGACUGAGAGGUUGAACGGCCACAUUGGGACUGAGAUACGGCCCAG
rnacentral:rRNA from 1 species